UACGGAGGGUGCAAGCGUUAUCCGGAUUCACUGGGUUUAAAGGGUGCGUAGGUGGGCAGGUAAGUCAGUGGUGAAAUCCUUGAGCUUAACUCGAGAACUGCCAUUGAUACUGAAGAUCUUGAGUUCGGGAGAGGUGAGUGGAACUGCGAGUGCAGAGGUGAAAUUCGUAGAUAUUCGCAAGAACACCAGUGGCGAAGGCGGCUCACUGGCCCGAUACUGACGCUGAGGAGCGAAAGCGUGGGGAGCAAACAGG
rnacentral:rRNA from 1 species